rnacentral:rRNA from 1 species
CUCUCGGCAUAGGAUGAGACUAUAUUGUAUCAGCUAGUUGGUGAGGUAAUGGCUCACCAAGGCUAUGACGCAUAACUGGUCUGAGAGGAUGAUCAGUCACACUGGAACUGAGACACGGUCCAGACUCCUACGGGAGGCAGCAGUAGGGAAUAUUGCUCAAUGGGGGAAACCCUGAAGCAGCAACGCCGCGUGGAGGAUGACACUUUUCGGAGCGUAAACUCCUUUUCUUAGGGAAGAAAUUUGACGGUACCUAAGGAAUAAGCACCGGCUAACUCCGUGCCAGCAGCCGCGGUAAUACGGAGGGUGCAAGCGUUACUCGGAAUCACUGGGCGUAAAGGACGCGUAGGCGGAUUAUCAAGUCUUUUGUGAAAUCUAAUGGCUCAACCAUUAAACUGCUUGAGAAACUGAUAAUCUAGAGUGAGGGAGAGGCAGAUGGAAUUGGUGGUGUAGGGGUAAAAUCCGUAGAGAUCACCAGGAAUACCCAUUGCGAAGGCGAUCUGCUAGAACUCAACUGACGCUAAUGCGUGAAAGCGUGGGGAGCAAACAGGAUUAGAUACCCUGGUAGUCCACGCCCUAAACGAUGUAUACUAGUUGUUGCUGUGCUAGUCAUGGCAGUAAUGCACCUAACGGAUUAAGUAUACCGCCUGGGGAGUACGGUCGCAAGAUUAAAACUCAAAGGAAUAGACGGGGACCCGCACAAGCGGUGGAGCAUGUGGUUUAAUUCGAAGAUACGCGAAGAACCUUACCUGGGCUUGAUAUCCUAAGAACCUUGUAGAGAUACGAGGGUGCUAGCUUGCUAGAACUUAGUGACAGGUGCUGCACGGCUGUCGUCAGCUCGUGUCGUGAGAUGUUCGGUUAAGUCCGGCAACGAGCGCAACCCACGUAUUUAGUUGCUAACAGUUUGGCUGAGCACUCUAAAUAUACUGCCUUCGUAAGGAGGAGGAAGGUGUGGACGACGUCAAGUCAUCAUGGCCCUUAUGCCCAGGGCGACACACGUGCUACAAUGGCAUAUACAAUGAGACGCAAUAUCGUGAGAUGGAGCAAAUCUAUAAAAUAUGUCCCAGUUCGGAUUGUUCUCUGCAACUCGAGAGCAUGAAGCCGGAAUCGCUAGUAAUCGUAGAUCAGCCAUGCUACGGUGAAUACGUUCCCGGGUCUUGUACUCACCGCCCGUCACACCAUGGGAGUUGAUUUCACUCGAAGUCGGAAUGCUAAACUAGCUUC